AACGAACGCUGGCGGCAUGCCUAACACAUGCAAGUCGAACGAGACCUUCGGGUCUAGUGGCGCACGGGUGCGUAACGCGUGGGAACCUGCACUUAGGUUCGGAAUAACUCCCCGACAGGGGUGCUAAUACCGGAUAAUGUCUUCGGACCAAAGAUUUAUCGCCUUUGGAUGGGCCCGCGUUGGAUUAGCUAGUUGGUAGGGUAAAAGCCUACCAAGGCGACGAUCCAUAGCUGGUCUGAGAGGAUGAUCAGCCACACUGGGACUGAGACACGGCCCAGACUCCUACGGGAGGCAGCAGUGGGGAAUAUUGGACAAUGGGCGAAAGCCUGAUCCAGCAAUGCCGCGUGAGUGAUGAAGGCCUUAGGGUUGUAAAGCUCUUUUACCCGGGAUGAUAAUGACAGUACCGGGAGAAUAAGCUCCGGCUAACUCCGUG
rnacentral:rRNA from 1 species